rnacentral:rRNA from 1 species
UACGGAGGAUCCGAGCGUUAUCCGGAUUUAUUGGGUUUAAAGGGUGCGCAGGCGGAAGAUUAAGUCGGUGGUGAAAUUUUGCAGCUCAACUGUAAAAGUGCCAUUGAUACUGGUUUUCUUGAGUGUGGAUGAAGUAGGCGGAAUUUGUGGUGUAGCGGUGAAAUGCAUAGAUAUCACGAGGAACUCCGAUUGCGCAGGCAGCUUACUAAACCAUAACUGACGCUCAGGCACGAAGGCGUGGGGAUCAAACAGGAUUAGAUACCU